UGAAGAAUUUAUCCAACGGCGGGGGAUAGCCGGCCCAACGGCCGGGUAAUACCGCGUACGACCUUCGGGGGCGAUCCCCUGAUGGUGAAAGCCGCAAGGCGCCGAUGGAGAACUUCGCGGCCUAUCAGCUAGUUGGUGAGGUCAUGGCUCACCAAGGCGACGACGGGUAGCUGGUCCGAGAGGAUGACCAGCCACAUUGGGACUGAGACC
rnacentral:rRNA from 1 species